rnacentral:lncRNA from 1 species
GAGGUCACCUGCCCUGCCCAGCAGCCGCAUGGAGAUCACCCAGUAGCCCUCAGGAGUCGGGGCUCCCACUUGUGAACCGGGAGCUCAGCUGAGACUCUCUGCGUGGCCAACCCUCUCCAGAGACCGGCUCCACCGCCAGCCAGAUUGGAUGCUGAGCGUGUCCACACAGCACGCACUCACUGGGACUCAGCGUGCUGGGACUCAGCUCCCCGCCGCCCAGUCCCUCGGGCCUAGGUCAGCUCGCCAGCUGGUGGCCUGAGGCAGAUCUCAGGACCUCCCUGUGCCUCAGUUUCCUCACCUGAAAAAUGGGAAUAAUUGGAGUUGCUUCCUCAGAGUACCCCUGCCCCUAGCUCCCUGCAGAGGUCCACGAGGCGAGACAGACCCAAAGAGAGAGGCAAGGACGUGGGCGUUGGUCGGUCUUGCGGGGAGGAGGUGCCGUGCUCUCCCCACUUCCUGACCCAGCAGAAAGCGCCCGGGCGUGUCCAGAUAAACCGCGCCUUAAUCGAGGCGCCAUUCCGGCCCGGAACAGGCCAGGCCCAGGGUGCAGAGUGGACACUCCCAGGUGUCCAAGCCGGCGAGCUCGGGUCCCGCAGAACCGGCGGCCCUGGAGACGCCCCGAGGGCAGCCCCGCUGCAGCCUUGCUCGGGUCCCCUAGCCCGGCGCCUCCGCAAACCAACCCACCGCGGGCCGCCGAGCCCCGCUCCGGGAUCCGCCGGCUGCCUCCAUCCCAGAAGAGUGCGCAGAGAAUUAAAUCUAGAUAUUUACAUGUUUAAUGGCUAAAGGAGCCUGUCUUCUGGCAGGGCAGGGAGGGCGCUCAGGUGGUUUAACUCAGCGCCGGGAUCCCGCUCAGCUGCGGGGGCCGCGAACCCCGCCGCUGGGCCGACGAUUGGGCCCCUCCGGAGCGCGGCGCCCAACGCGGGUUUCGUUGCGUCGGGGAAGUCCGUGGCCUGCAGCGUCCAGUCCCCAGGCUGUCAGCCGAGCCCUGGAGUGGGGCGUUCUCCAGGCCCCCAACCCCUGAUCCAGGCCGUUCCCCUCCCGCGCACCCUCCGGCGGGGGCUGCAGCCCGCGCCCCUCGCCGCCAAGCCCCAUUUUCCCACAGUGCAAACUGCAGCAAACGAACUGGUUUUCUCCUGAGCGCACGCUGCGGGGAGACGAUUCCAACGGCGUCCAGUGAGGAGGGGCCCAGGCCUGCGAGACGGGGCGCGUUCCUGUCCCCAGACCCCUCCGGCUGCGCCUCAACCCCCAGCCCGGCUCUCUGACCUGCAUCGGUCGGGCCGGGCACAGAGGAGGCAAAGCAGGCGGAGGCCGCGAGAGGAGAGCAGCCUGACCUCCCGCCUGAGCCCGGACCCUUCCCCUCGGGCACCCUCGGACGCCCCCGCCCCAGCGUGUUACUUUCUAGAUGGGGAAACUGAGGCGCGGCCAGGGCGAUGCGGCGGAAGUCCCGCGCCCGGCCGUCUCCCGCGCCUGCCAGA